rnacentral:rRNA from 1 species
GCUUGUCUCAAAGAUUAAGCCAUGCAUGUCUAAGUAUAAACUGCUUAUACUGUGAAACUGCGAAUGGCUCAUUAAAUCAGUCAUAAUUUAUUUGAUGGUACCUACUACUCGGAUAACCGUAGUAAUUCUAGAGCUAAUACAUGCACAAAGGCCCAUUCACGUGGGUUGUGAUUAUUAGAUUCAAACCGGCCUCGUUCUGGUGAUUCAUAAUAAUUGGUCGAACCGCAUGCCCUUGUGGUGGCGGUGAUUCAUCCUUAUUUCUGCCCUAUCAACUUUCGAUGGUAGGAUAGAGGCCUACC